GAUUCUAAUAGGCAUUUAUAAAAUCAUUUAAAGGAUUAUACAAUAAUGUUGAAAUGUAUGCAUAUUUUUUUUUUCAUUUUCCACAGUAUUUAUGGCAAAAUAUACAACUGUGUGGGUUAAAAAAAUUUUUCCACAUAGAUAGAGUAUUACUUUAAAUACAUUUUGGUGUAGACAUUUUAUUAAUCCUGUCAAUGAAAUUUGUUUGGCUUAACAGCAUCAUGUGGCUUUGAAUACAAUAUCACUAAAAUUGACAGUAACAUGAAAUUUGAAUCCUUUUCUUAAUUAAAAUAAAAAAUAAAACAUUCAAUAAAUUUAUUUUUAACCAAAAAAUAUACAAAAAUCACACAAAACACUAAAAUAAAUAUCAGUACAUCAAAUUUUUAAUUUACAUAAGCAAGUCUUAUAUUAUUUUCAGAGAGAUGAAAAUCUAUGUGGGGAAAUUGAAUGGGAACAAGAAAAAUUGAAAUAUGUAGAAUAUAAAAGCAUUGACUUAUAAAGAACAUAAAGAGCAUUGAAGAAACAUUUAUAACUUAAAUUAUUGUAGUUUAAACAAUAUCCAAUUCAAUAAACUUCUGGCACCUAAAUGUUGACCUUCUGAAAAUGUGAUGAAUGAAUAAUUUAUUUUUUUGAUCAGAAAAUUGUUUAUUUUUUAAAAUGUUUUUAAUCCAAAAUAUAUCAUGAAAUAAAUAAUUCACAUUAACAAGUAGUGCAAAGCUAUUAUUAGGUAAUCUAUGGUUUAAUUCGGCAGUGACCAACUACAGCCCAUGAUUAUUUAUUAAUCGGCCCAUCAAAGUAUUAAAUCAGAAUUAAAAAAAAAAAGACCUUUAAAUUUCAAAAUUUAACAUUCAUAUUAAAAUAAAAUUAUUAUACUUUUUAUUUUUUUCUCAUUUAUAACAAUCAAUAGGUACCUAAUAAAUGAUUAAACAUAUUACUGUACCUAUAUUAAGAUGUACCUACAAAAAAUUAAGAUAUUCUAUUUACUUAAAAGUAAAAGUUUAAUAUUAAAUUAUUCUAUUCACAAAAUAGUUAAAAUAUGAACUUAUUAAAACCAAGCUACUUAGACUUUACUUUACUUAGGAAGUCUAUUGUCAAUCAAACAAUUUUAAUCUUAUAAAUAUAAAUUAUAAUUAGUGCCAACAUUUGUGGCUUCAACUAUUUAGAUUAUAUUAACCUAGCCAAUACUAGAACAUAUCGAAUAAAAAAUAAUUAAAAUUGAAUACAUAACUUUACUAAAAUUAAUACAAUUUUCAAUAAAAUACAAAUAUUUUCAAUGAUGA